AACGAACGCUGGCGGCAUGCCUAACACAUGCAAGUCGAACGAGACCUUCGGGCCGGGUGGCGCACGGGUGCGUAACGCGGGGGAACCUGCCCUUAGGUUCGGCAUAACUCCCCGAAAGGGGUGCUAAUACCGGUAAAUGUCUUCGGACCAAAGAUGUAUCGCCAUUGGAUGGGCCCGCGUUGGAUUAGCUGGUUGGUAGUGUAAAAGCCUACCAAGGCUACGAUCCAUAGCUGGUCUGAGAGGGGGACCAGCCACGCUGGGACUGAGACACGGCCCAGACUCCUACGGGAGGCAGCAGUGGGGAAUAUUGGACAAUGGGCGAAAGCCUGAUCCAGCAAUGCCGCGUGAGUGAUGAAGGGCUUAGGGUUGUAAAGCUAUUUUACCCGGGAUGAUAAUGACGGUACCGGGAGAAUAAGCUCCGGCUAACUCCGUG
rnacentral:rRNA from 1 species